rnacentral:tRNA from 1 species
GGUGCUAUAGCUCAGUGGCAGAGCCCUUGCUUAGCAUAUGUGAGGCACUGAGUUCAAUCCUUAGCACCA